rnacentral:rRNA from 1 species
UACAGAGGGGGCAAGCGUUGUUCGGAAUUACUGGGCGUAAAGGGCGCGUAGGCGGCCACCUAAGUCAGACGUGAAAUCCCUCGGCUCAACCGGGGAACUGCGUCUGAUACUGGUCGGCUUGAAUUCGAGAGAGGAAUGCGGAAUUCCAGGUGUAGCGGUGAAAUGCGUAGAUAUCUGGAGGAACACCGGUGGCGAAGGCGGCAUUCUGGACCGACAUUGACGCUGAGGCGCGAAAGCCAGGGGAGCAAACGGG